rnacentral:rRNA from 1 species
ACAUGCAAGUCGAACGCCCCGCAAGGGAGUGGCAGACGGGUGAGUAACGCGUGGGAACAUACCCUUUCCUGCGGAAUAGCUCCGGGAAACUGGAAUUAAUACCGCAUAGCGCCCUACGGGGGAAAGAUUUAUCGGGGAAGGAUUGGCCCGCGUUGGAUUAGCUAGUUGGUGGGGUAAAGGCCUACCAAGGCGACGAUCCAUAGCUGGUCUGAGAGGAUGAUCAGCCACAUUGGGACUGAGACACGGCCCAAACUCCUACGGGAGGCAGCAGUGGGGAAUAUUGGACAAUGGGCGCAAGCCUGAUCCAGCCAUGCCGCGUGAGUGAUGAAGGCCUUAGGGUUGUAAAGCUCUUUCACCGAUGAAGAUAAUGACGGUAGUCGGAGAAGAAGCCCCGGCUAACUUCGUGCCAGCAGCCGCGGUAAUACGAAGGGGGCUAGCGUUGUUCGGAAUUACUGGGCGUAAAGCGCACGUAGGCGGAUAUUUAAGUCAGGGGUGAAAUCCCGCAGCUCAACUGCGGAACUGCCUUUGAUACUGGGUAUCUUGAGUAUGGAAGAGGUAAGUGGAAUUCCGAGUGUAGAGGUGAAAUUCGUAGAUAUUCGGAGGAACACCAGUGGCGAAGGCGGCUUACUGGUCCAUUACUGACGCUGAGGUGCGAAAGCGU